AUGCCCAUGCAAGUAGUACUUUCACCACUUUCAGCGACGAAGUGGCAACGAUUGCUCCACAAGGCAACUUCUUGGCCUACUUUGGACCAGUAAUUAUAUCAAUCAAGUUGAGAAUAAACAAGUUUUUCAAUCAAAUAUUUGAAUUCACAACACACAGGUCCUUCAGAACAGAGUAACGACGCUGAAUAUUCAAAUCAACAAAAGAAGGAAAAUAUGUAACACUAAAAACUUUCUAUUACCAUUGAAUUUCACCAAUCAACUACAUCAAUACGAAAACAAAGACAGAAUUACAACCAAUGACCUGAAAAAACAAACUUUAUUCUUACAUACAUGAAAAUCAAUCUUCCACAUAUGAAAAUCAAACACCUGGACUGGACUUGACAAACAAAAAUUCUAAAUUCAAACACCCUAUAGUCUAUAUUCACGUCUAUCAGACUAAGGAAAUUACAAUUUCUUUAAUCCCUUUUGUCAUCAACAUAUGAACUAACUAUAACCACAAAACCUAACUGUAACUAGUCCUCUAUUAGGAACUAAACACUGAACUGAAAAUUAAACCUUCAUCUUCACUACUAUCCUUGCUUCAAUUUCAACGCUUCUUCAAAUUUCUUCAUACGUUCGCACCCCACGUACAAUCCUCUUGAAAAAAUAAAGGAAGCACGCUAGGGACAACACGAACAAAAAAAAAACAACGAUCCAUCAUCAUCAUCUACUUCAGCAGAAAGUAAACAAACACCAAAGAAAGAAAUAAAGUAGAAACUAAUUAUUCCAAAUCAAGUCGAAGUAACCGCCUCAAAUCACUUGAUUUGCAAUUAGGGUUAGGGUUAGAGUUUUUUCUGGAUCUGAUUUGUGAGGAAGGGAUUGAUAAGGCAUCGUUUGGGAGAAAUCGACGUUGAAGACAAUCGUGGGAACGAAGAAUUGCAGUUCCCAUAAUUUUUGCUAGAGAGAGAAAGUUAGUUCUAGAGAGAGAAAGGAAAAGCGCGUGUUGUUGUUGUUAGAAGGAAGAGAGAGAAAGCAUAUACACGCUUGAAUAAUU
rnacentral:lncRNA from 1 species